rnacentral:rRNA from 1 species
AUUGAACGCUGGCGGCAGGCUUAACACAUGCAAGUCGAGCGGAGAGAGGUAGCUUGCUACUGAUCUUAGCGGCGGACGGGUGAGUAAUGCUUAGGAAUCUGCCUAUUAGAGGGGGACAACAUUUCGAAAGGAAUGCUAAUACCGCAUACGUCCUACGUGAGAAAGCAGGGGAUCUUCGGACCUUGCGCUAAUAGAUGAGCCUAAGUCGGAUUAGCUAGUUGGUGGGGUAAGGGCCUACCAAGGCGACGAUCUGUAGCGGGUCUGAGAGGAUGAUCCGCCACACUGGGACUGAGACACGGCCCAGACUCCUACGGGAGGCAGCAGUGGGGAAUAUUGGACAAUGGGCGGAAGCCUGAUCCAGCCAUGCCGCGUGUGUGAAGAAGGCCUUAUGGUUGUAAAGCACUUUAAGCGAGGAGGAGGCUACUUUAGUUAAUACCUAGAGAUAGUGGACGUUACUCGCAGAAUAAGCACCGGCUAACUCUGUGCCAGCCGCCGCCGUAAUAC